GGCCCGUUGGUCAAGUGGUUAAGACACCGCCCUUUCACGGCGGUAACAUGGGUUCAAAUCCCGUACGGGUC
rnacentral:tRNA from 1 species